AGUGAACGCUGGCGGUAGGCCUAACACAUGCAAGUCGAACGGCAGCACAGUAAGAGCUUGCUCUUACGGGUGGCGAGUGGCGGACGGGUGAGGAAUACAUCGGAAUUUACUUUUUCGUGGGGGAUAACGUCGGGAAACUUACGCUACUACCGCAUACGACUUACGGGUGAAAGCAGGGGAUCUUCGGACCUUGCGCGAUUGAAUGAGCCGAUGUCGGAUUAGCUAGUUGGCGGGGUAAAGGCCCACCAAGGCGACGAUCCGUUGCUGGUCUGAGAGGAUGAUCAGCCACACUGGAACUGAGACACGGUCCAGACUCCUACGGGAGGCAGCAGUGGGGAAUGUUAGACAAUGGGCGCAAGCAUGAUCCAGCCAUACCGCGUGGGUGAAGAAGGCCAUCGGGUUGUAAAGCCCUUUUGUUGGGAAAGAAACGCAGCAGGUUAAUACCCCGCUGUUCUGACGGUACCCAAAGAAUAGCACCGGCUAACUUCGUG
rnacentral:rRNA from 1 species